rnacentral:rRNA from 1 species
CCUACGGGGGGCUGCAGUGGGGAAUAUUGGACAAUGGGCGAAAGCCUGAUCCAGCCAUGCCGCGUGUGUGAAGAAGGCCUUCGGGUUGUAAAGCACUUUCAGUGGGGAAGAAAGCCUUGGGGCUAAUACCCUCGAGGAAGGACAUCACCCACAGAAGAAGCACCGGCUAACUCCGUGCCAGCAGCCGCGGUAAUACGGAGGGUGCGAGCGUUAAUCGGAAUUACUGGGCGUAAAGCGCGCGUAGGCGGUCUGAUAAGCCGGUUGUGAAAGCCCCGGGCUCAACCUGGGAACGGCAUCCGGAACUGGCAGGCUAGAGUGCAGGAGAGGAAGGUAGAAUUCCCGGUGGAGCGGUGAAAUGCGUAGAGAUCGGGAGGAAUACCAGUGGCGAAGGCGGCCUUCUGGACUGACACUGACGCUGAGGUGCGAAAGCGUGGGUAGCAAACAGGAUUAGAUACCCGAGUAGUC